rnacentral:rRNA from 1 species
AUGGCGCCCGAGGUGCACCUCGACCCCGUCGUCGCCCCAGCCGCUGCCGGCGAGCAGCAGCAACCAGCAGGCCGUCCUCGCCGUCCCUGCUCUUUCUGUCAGCCCUCCUCUUCGAUUUCCUCACGUGGCUCUCCCUCUAAGCUCUGCCCUUGCCCUCUUCUUCGCAGGAAAUCGAGCCCCACAGCGACGCCAUGA